GCCGGGUGCUGUGGCGCACACCUGUAAUCCUAGGAGCUGAGGAGGCUAAGGCAAGAGGAUCAUGAGUUCAAGGCCAGACUUAACAAUCAUGAGGCACUAAGCAACUCAGUGAGACCCUGUCUCUA
rnacentral:sRNA from 1 species